ensembl:lncRNA
GUUUAAAAUGUGCUAAAUGCAGGCAGAUGUAAGACGGAAAGUGUUUCCCUUCUGUAAUAUAUUACUACGUUAUCAUACUAAAAUGGAUAUUUUUAACUGCUACAUUACCAAUGAUGAAAUACCAGAUAAGCGCUCUCAAUGAAUUGAAUGUAUUUAUUAUAUUCUGUAAAACGGACUAGUUUUUAUUGCUGAUGUACAAUGAUAAUCAAUGUAAUUGUUUUUCCAUUUUAUUGGGUCGUCGGUCAGAUGAACAUACAACACUAGUUUUACACUGACAAUCAGGCCAAACCAAAAGGCUUGUUAGCAUGAUGCAGAGUAAAAGCCUCUGGUUACGGGGAGGGAAAUAAACUUGGAACUAAAGAGAAGGAUUCACUUUUUUAUUUUGUUGUUUCACAAUAAACCUGUUUACCAUGACUCCACAGAGCUCCACAAAGGCUCAGUUUGACACAAGAAAGAAAAAAAAAAAAAGGCGUAAAUAAAUAAGUGCCAUGGACACACCCACCCAUAAACACAGCUUGUGUUUUAAAUAAAACAGGAGCGUGGUCCAGAUGUGUCAAUGGAAGUUAAGCCAUUACUCCAUCUAUCCAAACGUGUUAACUGAUGCUAAUGUAUGUAAUUAAGUAGUCAAAGUGAUGGACAGGAGUAGCAACUACAAUUAGUGGUUGCUUCAAACCAUGAACUUAAGUGCAAAGCACAUCUGCCCUGAGAAACAUGUGUUUAUGGGGCGGUCGUUAACAGAGCAAUGAACUGCAGUGGUCAGUCACUCUGGAGCUUUAGCAACUGUUGACAAAUCGGCACCACAGUCUGGCUGGCGAUCAGAUCAAAUCCCCCCCCCCCUCGUUGGGACCAGCAUACUUAAACAAACAAGACUAACAGGGUUGUGCUUUUGUGAGAUGACAUGUAACAGUAAACAUAGUUUUUAGUCAGUCACAAACACAAAAGUUGGUAAUCAAUUAAGGCAUUAACACAGCCACAGCUGUGCUUUCUGUCUGGAACCGGAGUAGAAAACAGAACAGGAGACAUAUGUACAAAAGUACAGGUAAGUGCUACUCAAGCAGCCUCUCGUUGGCUCAAUCUGGGGCGAGAGAAGCUCUGAACUGGCCUCUUCUUGUUGCAGCAGGUGCAGAGAUUGUGGGGUUGGGGGGUGGGGGGGGCCGUCGCUGGUGUUACGGCCCCGGAGCUUUGGACCAUGUAGAGAGCGCUGAAGGAAAGCUCGGCCCAGGGUAUUGUGGUACAACAAAUUUCCAUGAAAGAAGGGAGGAGUAAGGACACAAGAGGCCGGGGGCCCGGGAGAGCCGUCAGGGGGUCUCUCCGUUGCGGCUGAAGAAGUACCUGACGGGGGGGCCCGCCAGGUCGUCGUCGCCGUCCGUCUCCGGGGCGAACGACACGGUGAGGUCCACGUAGCGGCGGUCCCCGGAUGGCUUGAUCAGCUUCUGCAUUCUGAGGAGAGGCGAGGUUCAGAGGCGCGGUGGGGGGGGCACAAAGAAUGAAGGAGGAGGAAACACUUACGUUAGCUUGAGUCUCUUCGAGUGUCCCGGCAUCACAGGCACGUAGAGCAUUUUGACACCAUGGACGACCAUAG